GAAUCCCUAAUCCUAUCGCGGCCCAUUCUAUUACUGGUUUUUGAAAUAGCAACGACCCUCUCAUUUUAUCUCCAAAUCUCCAAUCGGUUGUUUCUUCCCUUUUCUCUGCUAUGUGAUGAAUUCUGAUAUAUAGAAUGAAAUCAUCACGAAGUAAUCCACCCAACAGCCACCAAACCAUAAUCCUCAAAUCUGCAAUCUGCUCUAGACUCCUACUUAUAGGGCUUUUGCUUUUCCUCCUCUGGCGCACUGUUCUUCAUCCCUAUGACACUUCCUCUCCCCUGAACCCUAAUUGCCUCUCUUCAAACUCCAUCACCCAUCAUCAUAAUCAUAACCAAAACAGUCUAUUGCCACAGCUUGGCUCUACAAUUGAGGACAGUAUUGUAUGGGAUAGUGUCUACUUUGUUCGAAUUGCUGAAUGUGGGUAUGAGUAUGAGCAGUCUUACGCCUUCUUGCCUCUGCUUCCCAUUUGUAUUUUUGUUUUGUCUCAUACAGUGUUCGCACCAUUAGUUCCUUUUAUUGGACUCAGGGCUGUCCUGGCAUUGGCCGGAUAUGCGGUUAAUAAUGUUGCAUUUGUGUUUGCAGCAAUUUAUCUUUAUAGGCUUUCAGCUAUUAUCUUGAACGAUCAUGAAGCAGCACUACGGGCUUCACUUUUGUUUUGCUUCAAUCCAGCUUCCAUAUUUUAUUCUU
rnacentral:misc_RNA from 1 species